CGUAGGGGGAACCUGCGGAGGGWUMACUYACACGASUUUACAACUCCCAAACCCAUGUGAACAUACCUAUUGUUGCUUCGGCGGGAUUGCCCCGGGCGCCUCGUGUGCCCCGGAUCAGGCGCCCGCCUAGGAACUUUAACUCUUGUUUUAUUUUGAAUCUUCUGAGUAGUUUUUACAAAUAAAUAAAAACUUUCAACAACGGAUCUCUUGGUUCUGGCAUCGAUGAAGAACGCAGCGAAAUGCGAUAAGUAAUGUGAAUUGCAGAAUUCAGUGAAUCAUCGAAUCUUUGAACGCACAUUGCGCCCGCCAGUAUUCUGGCGGGCAUGCCUGUCUGAGCGUCAUUUCAACCCUCAUGCCCCUAGGGCGUGGUGUUGGGGAUCGGCCAAAGCCCGCGAGGGACGGCCGGCCCCUAAAUCUAGUGGCGGACCCGUCGUGGCCUCCUCUGCGAAGUAGUGAUAUUCCGCAUCGGAGAGCGACGAGCCCCUGCCGUUAAACCCCCAACUUUCCAAGGUUGACCUCAGAUCAGGUAGSAAURCCCRYYGAWCUUMAGCAUAUCAUAGGCGGGAGGAA
rnacentral:rRNA from 1 species